rnacentral:rRNA from 1 species
UUUCUGACCUAUCAGCUUUCGACGGUAUGGUAUUGGCUUACCGUGGCAGUGACGGUUAACGGGGGAUUAGGGUUCGAUUCCGGAGAGGGAGCCUGAGAAACGGCUACCACAUCUAAGGAAGGCAGCAGGCGCGCAAAUUACCCAAUUCUAACAGCAUAAGAGAGGUAGUGACAAGAAAUAACAAUACAAGGUAAUUAAAUUGCUUUGUAAUUGGAAUGAUAGAAAUUUAAACACUUUUUAAAGUAUCAAUUGGAGGGCAAGUCUGGUGCCAGCAGCCGCGGUAAUUCCAGCUCCAAUAGCGUAUAUUAAAAUUGUUGCAGUUAAAAAGCUCGUAGUUGAAUUUCUGUUAAAAAUAACCGGUCUGCUUUUAUUAAAAGUGGUAUCUUGGUGUGUUUUUAGCAAUAAUGUCCUUUGAAAUGUUUUUUACUUUAUUGUAAUAAGUCAUUAUUUUGAGGAUUUUUACUUUGAGAAAAUUAGAGUGUUUCUAGCAGGCUUACGCUUUUGAAUACUGCAGCAUGGAAUAAUAAGAUAGGAUUUUAGUUCUACAUUAUUGGUUUUAAGAACUAAAUUAAUGAUUGAUAGGGAUAGUUGGGGGCAUUUGUAUUUAACUGUCAGAGGUGAAAUU